CACGUAGGGCGCGAGCGUUGUCCGGAAUUAUUGGGCGUAAAGAGCUCGUAGGCGGCCUGUUGCGUCCGCUGUGAAAGCCCGGGGCUUAACCCCGGGUCGGCAGUGGAUACGGGCAGGCUAGAGGUAGGUAGGGGAGAAUGGAAUUCCCGGUGUAGCGGUGAAAUGCGCAGAUAUCGGGAGGAACACCGGUGGCGAAGGCGGGUCUCUGGACAGUUCCUGACGCUGAGGCACGAAGGUCAGGGGAGCAAACGGG
rnacentral:rRNA from 1 species